AAUAAAUAAAUAAAAAAGUUGAAAGAAAUAGUUCAUGUUCAUGCAUGGAUGAGACCAUCCUUCGUGGAUGGAUCAUGGAUGACAAAGCCGAGCUUUAUGCUAAAACAGUAGCAUGGGUGUGGAUAGUGAUUGCCCAUUACAUUCUUAUCCUUAAAAAUUCCCAUCAAUCAGUGCAAACGCAAAGAGAUAGCUUUGCCAACUAGCUCUCCAUAUGAAGCUCAGAAUGAGAUGCUUUCUUCUUCCUUCUCCUCCUCCUCCUGCUUAUCCUCUUAGUUUUACUUCCCUACUGGUUUGGAGAAUCUCCGUUGUCUUUGUCAAAUAUUUUUAUUUAUUUAUAAUCUUCAUAAAUGUGUGUUCACUGUAAACUGUUGUGCGCCGCAAGAUCCAAGCCUUAGUGGCUCAAAGUUGGUUGGUUUGCUCUUGUUUCUCUGGUAAGUUGUAAUGAAAGCGUCUGGCUCUUGCCCACAUUAUUUCAGGGGAAAUCUUGGACUUCACUCCAAGCAUUCGAUCGAUAAUUUUAGAAAAAUGCUAAUGGUAUAAGCAAGACCAGAAUUAGGAAUUUUUCGAUGGGUUGGCUAGCUAAAUAUUUUAACUUAAACUGUAAUGAUAUAUUUUUUUUCAUUGCCUAAUUUGCAAUAAACUUU
rnacentral:lncRNA from 1 species